rnacentral:rRNA from 1 species
AUUGAACGCUGGCGGCAGGCCUAACACAUGCAAGUCGAGCGGAUGAAGGGAGCUUGCUCCUGGAUUCAGCGGCGGACGGGUGAGUAAUGCCUAGGAAUCUGCCUGGUAGUGGGGGCUAACGUCCGGAAACGGGCGCUAAUACCGCAUACGUCCUGAGGGAGAAAGUGGGGGAUCUUCGGACCUCACGCUAUCAGAUGAGCCUAGGUCGGAUUAGCUAGUUGGUGGGGUAAAGGCCUACCAAGGCGACGAUCCGUAACUGGUCUGAGAGGAUGAUCAGUCACACUGGAACUGAGACACGGUCCAGACUCCUACGGGAGGCAGCAGUGGGGAAUAUUGGACAAUGGGCGAAAGCCUGAUCCAGCCAUGCCGCGUGUGUGAAGAAGGUCUUCGGAUUGUAAAGCACUUUAAGUUGGGAGGAAGGGCAGUAAGUUAAUACCUUGCUGUUUUGACGGUACCAACAGAAUAAGCACCGGCUAACUUCGUG